UUUUUUUCUCUCUCUUCUCUUCUCUCCCACUCUCUUCUCUCUCUCAAGGAUGAACUCCAAUCGGAGUUCUUCAUGUUCUUCGUUUUCCGGCGACCGACCGCCAUGAUUCUCAGAUUUCGGCUAGUCGCCGGCAAGCCGCCGCCACCCUCCAACCGGAACCACCGCGCCGGAAUCAUAACCACCCAAAAAAAUCCCAAAAUUUACGUAGAAACCUUAUUUUUUGCGAUUUAAACACAAAUCAACAUUAAAGGUUAAGGGUGUUGGUGGAGGCAGAGGCAAGGUGCACUGUUAAAUUAGUUUUUUUUUUUUUUUUGUGUAAUUUCUCUUCUCUAUGUGUGUAAAGAAAAACCCCUUUUUUGUUCUGAUUGUGUCUUAAUUAAUAGACCAAGUGAAUGAAUUUGUUUAACGUAAAAAACCUUCAGAUUUACAAUUUUUAUUGUUUUUAAUCUCAUCAAUUUGUGUUGAGAAGAAAAAAAAAAUAGUACGAGGAAAUGGUGAUGAAUGAAUGAAUCUGUGGUUGUUUUUCUCUGUUCUA